rnacentral:hammerhead_ribozyme from 1 species
AUCCAGAAGACGUGUCCCAAAUAGGACGAAACGCGCAUCAAACUGGAU